CGUGCAUAUGAUGAGGACAGCCAGGGCAUCUUAUGCACCCCUGAAGUAGUCCCAUCCACCGCAUCUGUAUCAGUUCAGAAUGUAUAUCCUUCUCAGACCGUAAUCUGGCC